GGCGGGGUAGCUCACUCGGUUUAGAGCGGUCGUCUCAUAAGCGACAGGUAGUGGGUUCGAGUCCCACCCCCGCCA
rnacentral:tRNA from 1 species